CCCAGGUCAUAAGCACCUGUGUUACAACCACAGACAUAGACAUAGUGUUGCAGCCAUUUCAUCACCUUUUUCUCUCUCUGAAGGAAUCUGACACUUGGAAAAACAAGGAGCAAGCUUAUGCCACCUUUAUGGUCUGAAAAGAAUAGGAUGUAAUACCAUGCAGCAGCUAUUUCAAAAAAAGAGAACUCUUAGGACUCUGGCUCUACCUGUGCCCUCCAAAGCAGCAGCAGGAGGAAAUGGAUGGAGAUUCUGGAGGAGAGGGCAGGAGUGGCCACUCCCAGGGAAGGGAGUAAUACCAGAGGUGAGAGGGGCUGGAAAUUCACUGUUCUCCCUGUUAUUACAAAUGCUGGGAAGUGAUCCAUGCCAGCAGUAGCUUUUUCUUCAUAAUUUAUGUGUUAUGCCAUGAUGUUUUGCUACAGUGGGAUCUAAACUAUUCCAAGUAUUUUUAAUUAACGAGGACCCAUAAA
rnacentral:lncRNA from 12 species